rnacentral:rRNA from 1 species
UACGGAGGGGGCUAGCGUUGUUCGGAAUUACUGGGCGUAAAGCGCGCGUAGGCGGACCUGCAAGUCGGGGGUGAAAGCCCGAGGCUCAACCUCGGAACUGCCUUCGAUACUGCGGGUCUCGAGUCCGGGAGAGGUGAGUGGAAUUCCUAGUGUAGAGGUGAAAUUCGUAGAUAUUAGGAAGAACACCAGUGGCGAAGGCGGCUCACUGGACCGUAGUUGACGCUGAGGUGCGAAAGCGUGGGGAGCAAACAGG